AUGUCACCUUUUUUGUGCCUGGGGAUGCUUGGAUGGCAGUGCCCAGAGAGGACUGGCCCUAAAGGGAACAGUCACCCUUGCUCUAAAAAUGCAAAAAAAAAUGUCCAGAGAGGACUCGCCAUACAGGGAAACCAUCUUUGCUCUAAAAAUGAAAAAAGAAGAAAGGAAAGGAAAGGAAAAAGGAAAGGAAAGGGUGAGCAAUCCAGAACAAUCCACGACUCUCUCUUCCAGCACACUAAGCACACCUGGGAAACUCUUGCCUGCAGCCCAGUCUUUGAGGAAUCUAACAUACCUUCCCCUAUGGCCCCCCUUCCCGUGAGGAUGCUGGGCGAUGCUGCUGUUCUCCAGGAGCCCGGUCCUGUCAGGGAGGAAGAGGAGAGGGGAAUCGUGUGGCUUCCCACCCUGUGUUUUUGCUUGCUCCUGCUCCGAGGCAGCCCCAUGUGCCCACACUCAAAGAAAUAUGUAGACAGUAGGAGAACCGAUGUAAAGGCGGCUUGCCCAAGAGGUCUUCCAAGAGCUGGGUGCCUUGGAGAGGCCCAGGGCUGGCCGGGCCCGGUGGUCACCUCACCUGGGCAGAGCUGCAGGGCGAGGCGCUCAGCCAUCUUGCGCCACUCAGCAUGGUCUCGGUGGCUCUGCCCCUCCUGUCUCACAGGGUCAUCCCGGGACAGCAGGUCCCUGAUGCUGCAAUGGAGGAAGAAGAUGAUAUCCUUCCAAUUCCAGAAAGUUUUCCCUAAGUUUGUCAACAUCUGGGGCAGAAGUUCCAUUGCAGAACUGAAAUUCCUACGGGAGGAGAGAAGCUAUGGAAUCACAGCCAAGCAAGGUGAACCUUGCAGAAAGAGGGGAGGCAUCUCCUCCCCAAGGCCUCCCACAGGAGAGCCUAUUCACCCCUGAGCACAUGGAACCCUCACGUUACUGCACCUUGGGGAAGAAUGACGCUGG
rnacentral:lncRNA from 1 species